CCCUUAGAUGUCCUGGGCCGCACGCGCGUUACACUGAUGCAUUCAACGAGCUUAUAACCUUGGCCGAGAGGCCUGGGCAAUCUUGUUAACGUGCAUCGUGAUAGGGAUAGAUUAUUGAAAUUAUUAAUCUUGAACGAGGAAUUCCUAGUAAACGCAGAUCAUCAAUCUGCAUUGAUUACGUCCUGCCCUUUGUACACACCGCCCGUCGCACCUACCGAUUGGAUGGUCCGGUGAAGCCUCGGGAUUGUGGUUCUUGCCGCUUUAUUGUGGCGUGACCGCGAGAACUUGUCUAAACCUUAUCAUCUAGAGGAAGGUGAAGUCGUAACA
rnacentral:rRNA from 1 species